rnacentral:rRNA from 1 species
AAUAUUGGACAAUGGGCGAAAGCCUGAUCCAGCCAUGCCGCGUGUGUGAAGAAUGACAUCUGCUUGUAAAUCAAGUUAAGUUGGGGGGAAGGGCAGUAAGUUAAUAUCUUGCUGUUUUGACGUUACCUACAGAAUUAGCACCGACUAACUUCGGGCCAGCUGACGCGGUACUACGAAGGGUGCAUGCUUUAAUCGGAAUUACUGGGCGUAAAGCGCGAGUAGGUGGUUCGUUAAGUUGGAUGUGAAAGCCCCGGGCUCAACCUGGGAACUGCAUACAAAACUGGCGAGCUAGAGUACGGUAGAGGGUAGUGGAAUUUCCUGUGUAGCGGUGAAAUGCGUAGAUAUAGGAAGGAACACCAGUGGCGAAGGCGACCACCUGGACUGAUACUGACACUGAGGUGCGAAAGCGUGGGGAGCAAACAGG